CAUACACAUACUAUUAAAAAUAUAUUAUUUUGGUGCAAUUCGGAAACAGUGCUUUCCGAAUACAUUUGGCCAAUGUGUCCUGGAGCUUUUGAAUUAGAACAAACAGUUCAGUUUAGGUCUUGAACAGAUUUGCGAUUAUUAUAUUAUGAUAGUACUUCACUGCAUCAAACAUCAUUUUAGAAGACUUGUGUGUGUUUUUUUUAUCGAUUAUAAAAUUUAGUAUCAACGCUAGAUGUCAUAUUGUAAUUAAAUAAACAAGUAUUAAAAUUUAAUAUGUAGUUAAAAAGUGUAAACAAUAGUUAUGAAUAAAUUAUAUGCGUAAAUAAAAAAGUAUUUUGCGAUUGUGUGUGCGGUAUUUUUAUACAGAAACAGGCCGUUGCUGCGUUUUCACAUUAUGCAAUCAGAUAUCGGGUCGGUCCAAUAUCGUGUCGUAUAAUGUGAAAACGCUCUUAAAAAAUAACCCACCUUUUUAUCAAAAUACAUCUUGUAGAAGUUUGUAGUAAAAUAUGUACCUAUGUUAAAGGUGCAAACACAUUGUUGCGUUGUGGUGUGACAUGCCGCCUCAGUCAGAAGGCAAUCGUAGUAAAACAUUUUAAUAAGAAGAUGCGCACUAAUCUGUCCCAGCUUAGCUCUGAUUGGCCGACCGUCACGCCAGAUCAUAUUACGACAGUAAACAACACAGUAAUGUGAUUACAUCUUUAUAUUUAGUAAUUUCAUACCAUCGAAGAAAUAGCGAGAAAAUGGAUGGCAAUAAGUAAAUAAUAAUUUAUUUAUGCUAGCGUGUGUUAGGGGCCUUACAUGAAGCAUACACAUUAUUACUGGUUUUAAUGAUAAUAAUUACUGUUCAAUUAUGUACUAAAUAUUAUGUAUUUCGAAAUUAUAAUUGCUACAUUUCGUUGCUAAUCCUGACACAAACAAAUAAAGCAAUAGAUUAUAAUUCUGAGCUAAGCUAAUGUUUGUGGAUUUAAAAAAAUAUUGAGCUUACUUCGCGAUUAAAUAAAUCGAAAAUUGUGAAAACAAAGCAAAAAUAAAAAAAUAACGAAAAAAUAAUAGUUUUCUUUUUAACAUUAUUUUGUGAUUUCAUUAAUAUUUUGUAAACCAAUUUAAAAUGAAAGUAUUUUUUGGUAUUGUAGUUUUUUUAAUAAAUUUUUUUAACAGUGAUUGCUGAAUGUUAACUCAAUGUUAAAUGUGUUAGUGCUAAAUGUUAAUUAUUUUUAAGUCCCAUAUCUAUGUAAUGUACUGUAUAUAAAGAAUGUGGAAACCUA